UCGCGGGGUAGAACACUUCGGGUGUUUGAGACCGGCGGACGGGUGAGUAACACGUAGGUAAUCUGCCUGAGGGUUGGGGAUAGCCCAUGGAAACAUGGGGUAAUACCGAAGAUACGUCUUAUCUUACACAAGUGAGAUAAGGGAAAGGUGCUUAGGCACCGCCCACAGAUGAGCCUGCGUCUCAUUAGUUAGUUGGUGGGGUAACGGCCUACCAAGGCAACGAUGAGUAGCCGGCCUGAGAGGGUGAACGGCCACACUGGGACUGAGACACGGCCCAGACUCCUACGGGAGGCAGCAGCUAAGAAUCUUCCGCAAUGGACGAAAGUCUGACGGAGCGACGCCGCGUGUGUGAUGAAGGCGGAAACGUUGUAAAGCACUUUUCCUGGGGAAGAAUAAGGUGAGGAGGUAAUGCCUCAUCGAUGACACGAACUAGGGAAUAAGCCCCGGCUAAUUACGUGCCAGCAGCCGCGGUAACACGUAAGGGGCGAGCGUUGUUCGGAAUUAUUGGGCGUAAAGGGCGUGUAGGCGGCCUGGUAAGUCUGGUGUGAAAGACCGCAGCUUAACUGCGGGACCGCGCUGGAAACUAUCAGGCUAGAGUCUAAGAGGGGGAACUAGAAUUCCAGGUGUACGGGUGAAAUCUGUAGAUAUCUGGAAGAAUACCGGAGGCCGAAGGCGAGUUCCUGGCUAUAGACUGACGCUGACGCGCGAAAGCGUGGGGAGCGA
rnacentral:rRNA from 1 species